rnacentral:rRNA from 1 species
GAUGAACGCUGGCGGCGUGCCUAAUACAUGCAAGUCGAGCGAACAGAUGAGGAGCUUGCUCCUCUGACGUUAGCGGCGGACGGGUGAGUAGCACGUGGAUAACCUACCUAUAAGACUGGGAUAACUUCGGGAAACCGGAGCUAAUACCGGAUAAUAUAUUGAACCGCAUGGUUCAAUAGUAAAAGACGGUUUUGCUGUCACUUAUAGAUGGAUCCGCGCCGCAUUAGCUAGUUGGUAAGGUAACGGCUUACCAAGGCAACGACGCGUAGCCGACCUGAGAGGGUGAUCGGCCACACUGGAACUGAGACACGGUCCAGACUCCUACGGGAGGCAGCAGUAGGGAAUCUUCCGCAAUGGGCGAAAGCCUGACGGAGCAACGCCGCGUGAGUGAUGAAGGUCUUCGGAUCGUAAAACUCUGUUAUUAGGGAAGAACAAAUGUGUAAGUAACUAUGCACGUCUUGACGGUACCUAAUCAGAAAGCCACGGCUAACUACGUG